CCAGAUAGACCGGUCGACCAAAAUUCAGAUAUUGGAAUGUGUGAAGCUCCUCUGGAAGUCACUGGAACAUCUCUGAGUUUGGCGGAAAGGAGGAUCAUGGCAAUAAAGCCCACAGAAAAUUAGAUCUCAUUCUUCAAGCUAUAUCUUCAACUCAAUCAAAGGCCCAUCUUAAAUAGGAAACUCAUCUCUGCCCUACGGGAACUCUAUUCCAAAGUAUUUCAGAUGAGACCUUGAAAAUGCAGGCAGACUGAUUGGAGCGGUUUAGAGUGCUGGUGCCGAUGCAUCUGGAUUUACGAGAUGAUGUCCGGAAGAGGACCGGAGAGAACAAGGUGGCCAGCCCCUUCAAAAGGACAACCUGCUGUUUCUGAUUUUUGCCGGAGAAAUUCUUUCGGAGCUGAAACUUCUUCAAUCGAUAGUAUAAUUAAGCCCCAGUGUGCAAGUCACUGAACUAAGUGCUUGUUUCUUCC